AAAUUAAAACAAGUUUUUUUUUUUUUUUUUUUUUUUUUUUUUUUUUUUUUUUUUUUUUUUUUUUUUUUUUUUUUUUUUUUUUUUUGGGGGGGGGGGGGG